UAUCGCGACAAGUUGCGAGUCGUACAGGUACCCGGGCGGCCGCUCGAGCCAAGUAGAGAGAAGCUUGCUUCUCUUGAGAGCGGCGGACGGGUGAGUAAUGCCUAGGAAUCUGCCUGGUAGUGGGGGAUAACGUUCGGAAACGGACGCUAAUACCGCAUACGUCCUACGGGAGAAAGCAGGGGACCUUCGGGCCUUGCGCUAUCAGAUGAGCCUAGGUCGGAUUAGCUAGUUGGUGGGGUAAUGGCUCACCAAGGCGACGAUCCGUAACUGGUCUGAGAGGAUGAUCAGUCACACUGGAACUGAGACACGGUCCAGACUCCUACGGGAGGCAGCAGUGGGGAAUAUUGGACAAUGGGCGAAAGCCUGAUCCAGCCAUGCCGCGUGUGUGAAGAAGGUCUUCGGAUUGUAAAGCACUUUAAGUUGGGAGGAAGGGUUGUAGAUUAAUACUCUGCAAUUUUGACGUUACCGACAGAAUAAGCACCGGCUAACUCUGUGCCAGCAGCCGCGGUAAUACAGAGGGUGCAAGCGUUAAUCGGAAUUACUGGGCGUAAAGCGCGCGUAGGUGGUUAGUUAAGUUGGAUGUGAAAUCCCCGGGCUCAACCUGGGAACUGCAUUCAAAACUGACUGACUAGAGUAUGGUAGAGGGUGGUGGAAUUUCCUGUGUAGCGGUGAUAUGCGUAGAUAUAGGAAGGAACACCAGUGGCGAAGGCGACCACCUGGACUGAUACUGACACUGAGGUGCGAAAGCGUGGGGAGCAAACAGGAUUAGAUACCCUGGUAGUCCACGCCGUAAACGAUGUCAACUAGCCGUUGGGGAGCCUUGAGCUCUUAGUGGCCGCAG
rnacentral:rRNA from 1 species